CACAGUUACCUUCCUCUAGCAUCUUGUUGAGCUGCAAUCAAACCAGAUCUGGCACCGCUUCUCCCAGAGUGUGUUCCCCCUUUUGUGAGGUGAAAACCAGUCUUUGCCGGGCCACAAUCUCUUCCCGCCUUUUGCAUCCCUGCCUGACUGGGCGUGGGGCUUUUCCUGCCCUUUUGGGGCUGGGGACAGGACAGAAACCACACGAGGAAAAGGCGGGAGCUCCGUGAGGGGACCGGGCUGGUUCCCCUUUGUACCACAGCCCUCAGCGCGUCGGGGAGGUGACAGGGAGGCUGAACCCUGCAGCCGGGAGGGCAUCGCGCUUCCCUCACCUCAGUGCAGGGCUAUGCCUCAGUGCCGAGGGGCAGGCAUGUGCCAGUGCUCUGAAGCUGGCUUCUCACUGUCAGACCGGCCUUCUAUGCGUUUUCCAGCUCUCAAGAGGUCCCUUCCAGUUGGUAGACUUGUUUCCUUCUCCUCUACCCCCCGGAUUUUGGGUGCCUCAGAAGAAAAGGGAGAAGGUCCUUUCAGCUCACUGCAUGGAGGCCCUGCACCUAGAAUGGCUGCCAUUGAGCAGGGCUGGCCACAGUCGCCCUGGUGUGUCAGGAUCAGGGCUAAAGAGCAUGAAGAAACAGCAGCACACUGCUCAGCAGGGUUCCUAUGCGAGGAUGCUCAUCUCUUGCCUGGGUGUUACUCACAGUGAAGCAAAUACAGGCCCCUAAGGAAGGAGCGCAGCAGACACCGAACUGGCAAAAUACGGAAAGUAAGAUUGAAAAGAGAACAUGAAAUCAUCUAAUAGAUGCAGAGCUGUUUACUGGGGCCUAGUUUGCCAUGGGAAAAUGAGGUAUUUACUGCUCUUUUCUGUCACAAAUCCUUACACAAUGCAUCAGCAGAGCAAUCCU